rnacentral:lncRNA from 1 species
AAAUUACUGUAUAUGUUAGAUAUUGUCAAAAUCUGUUACGGGCACUUCAUAUGAGAUAUAGAAAGGGUAAAAAGCAAGUUGCAUAACUUAUGUUAAAAGUGUUGAUGUACAUAAGUUUUGUGCUAAAACAGGUUAAUAUAUAUAUAGUUUAUAGGUCAUCCUAAGAGUAGUAUGUGAUACUACUUCUACCACACUACUUGACAAAAAUAUUUUGUCAGUAGAUAUGCCACCUUUUAGAAAAAAAAAAAUUUUAAGAAGGGGAU